rnacentral:rRNA from 1 species
UACGAAGGGGGCUAGCGUUGCUCGGAAUCACUGGGCGUAAAGGGUGCGUAGGCGGGUUUUUAAGUCAGAGGUGAAAUCCUGGAGCUCAACUCCAGAACUGCCUUUGAUACUGAAAGUCUUGAGUAUGGGAGAGGUGAGUGGAACUGCGAGUGUAGAGGUGAAAUUCGUAGAUAUUAGGAAGAACACCGGUGGCGAAGGCGGCCCACUGGCUCGAUACUGACGCUGAGGUGCGAAAGCGUGGGGAGCAAACAGG